UACAGAGGGUGCGAGCGUUGUCCGGAAUCACUGGGCGUAAAGGGCGCGUAGGUGGCGACCCAAGUCGAUGGUGAAAGCUCGCCGCUCAACGGCGAGUCGGCCACCGAUACUGGGUUGCUGGAGCACUGUAGAGGCAGAGUGGAAUUCCGGGAUGUAGCGGUGGAAUGCGUAGAGAGUCCGGAGGAACACCAGUGGCGGAGGCGACACGCUGGGCCGUACCGUGACACUGAUGCGCGACGAGCAUGGGGAGCAAACAGG
rnacentral:rRNA from 1 species